UUUAUGGAGAGUUUGAUCCUGGCUCAGGAUGAACGCUGGCGGCGUGCCUAAUACAUGCAAGUCGAGCGAACAGACGAGGAGCUUGCUCCUCUGACGUUAGCGGCGGACGGGUGAGUAACACGUGGAUAACCUACCUAUAAGACUGGGAUAACUUCGGGAAACCGGAGCUAAUACCGGAUAAUAUAUUGAACCGCAUGGUUCAAUAGUGAAAGACGGUUUUGCUGUCACUUAUAGAUGGAUCCGCGCCGCAUUAGCUAGUUGGUAAGGUAACGGCUUACCAAGGCAACGAUGCGUAGCCGACCUGAGAGGGUGAUCGGCCACACUGGAACUGAGACACGGUCCAGACUCCUACGGGAGGCAGCAGU
rnacentral:rRNA from 1 species